CUAGCUGCCAUGUUACUCUUUGGUCCAGUUGUCCUUUGUACAUGCUAUAUAAGGCAAAUGGUUUCAAAUUUCCACUCCCAAGUCUCCAUUCCCAUUUCCCGUGAGCUCAACUCAUGUCACUCCUAACAAUUGCAAGAAGACUACAGAUAUCCCAUUCCCGACUCCUUUUCCCACUUCUCUAUUCCAUCACCUACCCUCAUCCUCCCUCUCCCUCGAAUAACUCCAAUUAUCCUAUCUUUUUCUCUGUGGAAUUUCAUCGAACACUGUCAAUACCCACACGAUCCCCUCACCAUUUCUCCACUUCCCAAUCCUUCUCCACUCAAUAUCUCAACGUCUCUUUUGAGCUCAUUCAACAAGGAAUCCAAACCCAUGAACCUCUUCAAAUGGGCCUUCUCCAAUCACUCAAAAUGGCUGCCCAUUUACCCUCUGAAGCAGAGGCUAUGGCUUCUCUGGAUGAGUCAGGCAUUAGAGCAAAUCAGAAUCUAGUGUAUUCAGUGAUAUGGGAACUAAGAGAAGAGUGGAGACUUGCUUUUCUGGCUUUUAAAUGGGGAGAUAAAUGGGGCUGUGUUGAUGAGAAAGCGUGUGAAUUGAUGGUGUGGGUUUUGGGUAAUCAUAGGAAGUUCAAUACUGCUUGGAUUUUGAUUAGAGAUUUGCACAGGUCCUUGAUGAGUACUAGAAAAGCUAUGCUUAUUAUGAUUGAUAGAUAUGCAGCUGCAAAUGUUCCUGGCAAAGCUAUUUAUGCAUUUCGCAUUAUGGAUAAGUUUAGAAUGACCCCCGAUGAAGAAGCAUUUUACUUCCUAUUGAAUGUUCUUUGUAAAAAUGGAAACAUUGAAGAGGCUGAAGAGUUUAUGCUUGUUAACAAGAAAUUCUUCCCAUUGGAGGUCGAGGGAUUUAACAUUAUUCUCAAUGGAUGGUGUAAUAUAUGUGUUGAUGUAUUUGAAGCAAAGCGAAUUUGGAGGGAAAUGUCAAAAUAUUGUAUUGACCCUGAUGCAACUACUUAUACACACAUGAUUUCUUGCUUUUCAAAAGUUGGGAAUCUUUUUGAUUCACUGAGACUUUAUGACGGGAUGAAAAAAAGAGGUUGGGUCCCGGGCAUUGAAGUUUAUAAUUCUUUGGUUUACAUAUUAACUCGUGAGAAUUGCUUUAAGGAAGCUCUCAAAAUUCUUGACAAAAUGAAAGAAACUGGGUUGCAGCGAGAUUCUGCUACUUACAAUUCGAUGAUUCGUCCUUUGUGUGAGGCAAAAAAGCUAGAGGAUGCUAGAAGUUUAAUGGCUGCCAUGAUAGAGGAGAACGUCAGCCCAACAAUAGAAACCUACCAUGCAUUUCUUCAGGGUAUUGUUUUUGAAGAAACUUUUGAAGUCCUUGAUCGAAUGAAGAUAGCUGGUUUAGGUCCCACUGAAGAUACCUUUCUCUUACUUCUUGCAAAGUUCUUCAAACUAGAGCAACCUGAGAAUGCAUUGAAGAUAUGGGUGGAAAUGAAGCAGUAUGAAGUGGCUUCCAAUUUGACACAUUAUACAGUAAUGGUGGAAGGACUAGCAAGGUGUGGUUUAUUAACCAAGGCUCGAGAAUACUAUGCUGAGAUGAGGUCAAAUGGUUAUUCAGAUGAUCCAAAGAUUCAGAAAAUGUUGAAAGUGCCAGUUCAAGACAAGAAUGACAAGAGAAAAAAGCUGGGAGGGCAAUUUAAGAGAAAUCAACAUGUGAGUCACAAGAAAGGCAGUAUGGUCAGACGGAAAAGUCAUUGACACCAGUUGAGCAAAAUACCGGGAUAUUGAUCUCAGAAAUCAUAGCUGAGAAAAAUUCUUUUCACCAGAUAUCAAUCUCUCAUUUUACUGCAAGAGGUUUUAUUUCAGAGAACCUUGCAGUAUGCACUGGCUAAUUCUCAACCUAUUCACAUGUGGACCUAUUAGUGAAUAGGCCUGAUCUAAGGUAGCUUUGACGAGGCCCAAAUUCUCAAGUAGGAAGGGGCAUCUCUGCAUGACUGGUUUCAAUCCUUGGAGGAGAAAAAUCUCAAGCACCUUCUCUUAUGUGAAAGAUUCACUUGCAGACAGAGAGAUCCACUGGGACCAUUCCAAUGAACUUAACCUUACCUAAGGAAGGAGGGAAAAAGAAAGCUCCAUGCAUUCCAUGGUUAUAAAACCUGGCUUGAGGUCGAAUAAUCUGCUGAUUUAUAGCCUAGCUCAGGUCAGAUUUUAUUUUGAACAUGUUUAGAAAUUGAUCUGAUUACACUUAAUUUUACCUGGAUAAACUCCACUGACUUGAUUGACAUGAUCAGGUCAACUUCAAUUUUUUUUUUCCAAAAUAGUUUCCUGACUAGAAUCUUAAACCAGAUGGAACCCUAAGACUAUAACUACCAUGCAUUCGCAAUUUCAAAUAUAGUCGCCAACGGCUGCCUACCCCUUUUUGUUUUUAAUUUACUUGUCCGUUGGCCAUGGACAUUUUGUCUUGAGCUGAAGACACUGGACCAUGUAACUAGAAAACUAGAGGCACGCCUACGAAAGCAAUUGUGGUUUCUUUUUUAAAAUCAAGUGCAGCAUCAAUUUUAAUGCAAUGAUAACUUGUUUCAAAUGACU